CUUUAGGAGGGGGAUAACACCUGGAAACGGUUGCUAAUACCCCAUAUGCUUUCGAGUGAAAUGGAAUUUUCCGCCUAGAGAGAAGCUUGCGGCUGAUUAGCUUGUUGGUGAGGUAAUGGCUUACCAAGGCGACGAUCAGUAUCUGGUUUGAGAGGAUGAUCAGACACACUGGAACUGAGACACGGUCCAGACUCCUACGGGAGGCAGCAGUGGGGAAUUUUCCGCAAUGGGCGAAAGUGACGGAGCAAUACUGCGUGAGGGAUGACGGCCUAUGGGUUGUAAACCUCUUUUUUCAGGGAGGAACAAAAUGACGUGUACCUGAAGAAUAAGCAUCGGCUAACUCCGUGCCAGCAGCCGCGGUAAGACGGAGGAUGCAAGUGUUAUCCGGAAUCACUGGGCGUAAAGCGUCUGUAGGUGGUUUAAUAAGUCAACUGUUAAAUCUUGAAGCUCAACUUCAAAAUCGCAGUCGAAACUAUUAGACUAGAGUAUAGUAGGGGUAAAGGGAAUUUCCAGUGGAGCGGUGAAAUGCGUAGAGAUUGGAAAGAACACCGAUGGCGAAGCACUUUACUGGGCUAUUACUAACACUCAGAGACGAAAGCUAGGGUAGCAAAUGGGAUUAGAUACCCCAGUAGUCCUAGCCGUAAACAAUGGAUACUAGAUGUUGAACAGAUCGACCUGUGCAGUAUUAAAGCUAACGCGUUAAGUAUCCCGCCUGGGAAGUAUGCUCGCAAGAGUGAAACUCA
rnacentral:rRNA from 1 species